CCCUUAGAUGUUCUGGGCCGCACGCGCGCUACACUGACGAAGUCAGCGAGCAUGUCCUACGCCGACAGGUGCGGGGAAUCUUGUCAAACUUCGUCGUGAUGGGGACUGAUUAUUGAAAUUCUUGAUCAUCAACGAGGAAUUCCUAGUAAGCGCAAGUCAGCAGCUUGCGUUGAUUACGUCCCUGCCCUUUGUACACACCGCCCGUCGCUACUACCGAUUGAAUGGUUUAGUGAGAUCUUCGGAUUUGCGCCACUGCGGCUCAGCAAUGGGCUCGGUGGAUGCCGAAAAGUUGAUCAAACUUGAUCAUUUAGAGGAAGUAAAAGUCGUAACA
rnacentral:rRNA from 1 species